rnacentral:rRNA from 1 species
UACGGGGGGGGCAAGCGUUGUUCGGAAUUACUGGGCGUAAAGCGUGCGCAGGCGGUUCGUGAUGUCUGGUGUGAAAGCCCCGGGCUUAACCUGGGAAUUGCAUUGGAAACUAGCGGGCUGGAGUGUGGCAGAGGGGGGGUGGAAUUCCACGUGUAGCAGUGAAAUGCGUAGAGAUGUGGAGGAACACCGAUGGCGAAGGCAGCCCCCCUGGGCUAACACGUGACGCUCAUGCACGAAAGCGUGGGGAGCAAACAGG